AGAUGACUAACAGGCCAGGUCAGAGGUGGACGGCGUUCAUCUUGCCCACUGAGAAUUACUCAGUUUGCUUUCAUAAGAAGGUCAAAGGCUCACAUGAGCCCAGUGACUGCUGGGUCAGGCCAGCCCUGGCCAUCCUCCUGAGAAGCCUGGGCCUCUCCAAGCCAGAAUGUCUUCCAGCCAGCCCCACUCAGCUUCCUCCCCUAUAGGCUGUCUCUGCCUGAGGACACUGGGACUUCCUUGUUACAUCACACACCCUGUAAGUCACAAUCGAGCUGAAAGCAGAGCCUGGCCAAGCCAGGGCCUCAGGGGCAGCCCUCCCGCUGAAUCCAGGAGGCCCUGCAGGGCCACAGGUACACAAUGAAGUACCCUCUGGUGCCGCUGGUCAACGACCUCACACUCUCUUUCCUGGUUUUCUGGCUCUGCCUGCCCGUGAGUUUGCUGCUGUUUUUGAUGAUCGUCUGGUUACACUUCUUACUUAGUCAAGAUUCAAAGGAAGAUGAUUCGGAUUUAUGCUUCAACUGGGAGCCUUGGAGCAAAGGACCAUCUGAGUCUGGCUGUGAGGGGACAUUUUCUGGCCAGGAGGACAGGCACCACUGGUGAGCCUGCUCUACCAGGUGUCAUCUGGGCCUAAGUGGAUGGAGGGAAGAGAACACUGGCGACCAAGGAGCCUUCCUGGGACCUCCAGUUGUCAGACCUGCCAAGCCUCUUGCGAAACCAUCCAUUCUCCAUCAUCACAGAUGACCUGGGCCUGGAAGAGCCAGGCCCAAGCAGCCUUUGGGGGCCAGCUGGCAAGUUCAACACACAGGAGGUAUUGCGUACCUAUUAAAGAAAUGGGGGUGCUCUUGUGCCCUGACAAAGCUUCCGAUGUCCGUUCAUUCACCGUGACUCUGCCAGCCCUGUGUCCGCUGGCAAGGACAAGCACUCUGAGCUUUGAGC
rnacentral:lncRNA from 1 species